UAAAGCAGGAGGGAGAAAUCGUGUGCGUUGGAGGACGGUUAGGAUAAGAGAAGGGUAAGGGGUUUUGUUGAAGCUGGCUGGGAACUGGCAGGAGGGCUCAUACAUAACACCCAGUUUCUCCAUCUGAGCUCAAAACCCAUAGGGAGAAAGAUACAGUCAACGGCAGGAGAGCCACAGGUUGGCUUUAUUACGAAUAAGAUGGCUACUCAGUGCAAAUGUAGAUCUGUAGCCUAAGGGAUGUCCCUGAAAUGCCCAAGCAGAUGAGAGCUCAGCAGUCCUCCCCCAUGGGGAUGGGCCCCUCUGCAGGCAAAGGAGCACCAGGAUGGAUCCCCCCUGUCUGCAGGCAGAUCUGGAGCAGGAAGGAGCCAGGAAGAGCUGAGCCACAAAGACCGAGAUUCUUCUCCUAACACACCGACCAGACAGCUGACUUCCUGCGAAGCCCGAGGGUUGGAUGUAACUAAGUUUCACAUGGAGAACAAUCUAUUUCCAUAUGGUCUUUAAUCUGGGGUGACCCUACUGGCCAUCGUAGCAAAUGCUGAAGAUACUGAUCCUCACUCCUCCCUGUCCAACAGAUCCUGUGGCGUGGAAAGACCAGACAAAAGAAAAGACCAACUGGCCCGGGCUUUUAUUUAAGUCGGGCAACCCGACACGAGGGCCCUGCUUCCAUUCUCAGCCCCCACCUCUGCCUUGUUCUUCCCCUCCUCUCUGUAUCCUCUUUGUACUAUGCCCACUGUCCGUGGUCUUGAUCACCUGCUUGCUCUCGUGGCCCCCUCCCACACUCACCCAUCUUGAAGCGCUGACCCUGUGGACAGGGUGCUCCCCAUUGUAGGCCUCCAUCUCUAGCCUUGGCUAGAUGGAUGGAUGGACGGCUAAGCUUCCCUCUCACUCCCUGGGCUCAGUCUUUUGCCGAAUAUUUCCUAUGUCUGUCAUGCCCACGUGCUCAGUUCUUUGCUGAGGGUGACAGGAGGGAUUCACCCCGGUCCUGGAGCACCUUUUAUUCAUGGCGGUGGGUGACCAGAGCACAUGGAUGAAACUAACAGGAGACAGAACCAAAAGACCAUCACCCUGGGGUGGGUUCCUAAUGUACAGGAACUUCUUAAUGUGAGCAGCCCUCGGCCAAGACCACAACCAAACCAUCCUGCAUGUCUACAGACCAUCUAGACCCUAGAGGAUGUGCACCUGCUUUCUUAGUACCGAGUCACUGUGUCACGAAACGAGCUGGACUCAGAAGAGCACAGGCAGAAGGCAGUGACACUAUUUUCUCUGUGCUAAGUUGACUGCUUCUUCUUUGCUCCUGGAUGAAACCCCAGGCAGGUGCUGUGGGAUUAACAAACCUCAUGUUUCAGAUAAUAAAGUGUCCAGGUCAAUCCAGA